UACGAAGGGGGCUAGCGUUGCUCGGAAUCACUGGGCGUAAAGCGCACGUAGGCGGAUCUUUAAGUCGGGGGUGAAAUCCCGGAGCUCAACUCCGGAACUGCCUUCGAUACUGGGGAUCUCGAGUUCGGGAGAGGUGAGUGGAACUGCGAGUGUAGAGGUGAAAUUCGUAGAUAUUCGCAAGAACACCAGUGGCGAAGGCGGCUCACUGGCCCGAUACUGACGCUGAGGUGCGAAAGCGUGGGGAGCAAACAGG
rnacentral:rRNA from 1 species